UACACGAGACUGGACUGUUUUAACGGCUGUCUGCGAGAUCUUGCGUAUCACACGAGAAAAUGCUUCGGAGAAAGAAGAGAGCCCUUCAAAUUAGAAAAGUGAUGAUGAUCUUGUCAAUGCUGAGAUUUUCAUGCAUCAACAGCCACUACAUCUGGAUCAGAUUGAACAAGAAACAGACAGCAAGGGUUGUCAGGUCAGAAACAGAAUGACACACAAACACAAGAAACUUCACAGGCAGAUCAACAUGCAAUUUGAAGACGUGUGAUAAAAUACAGAGAUGUGAAGUCGUGUGUCUUUCCAGAUGCCCAAAUCAUUCCCCCUUAAAAGAUGAGCCUGAAGAGGAGAUUUGGGAAGAUGCUGUUUCAUAAGUCGCUUUGCCAGAUCACCUGUGGUCGGGAUGUCUGCUAACAAGAUGCCUUGCUGGUUUGGGCGAGUUUAAAGUCUAACACAGACAGUCCAGAGGUUCUGAAGUCCAUCUUCGAUCUCAUUGAUGCUGUCAUCGUAUUAAGUACAGCAUGAGCCAGAAUGGAUGGGUGGUGGUGGCCAUAAGAAGACUGUCAACUAAAUCAACAACAAAAUUCAUAUUUGCAUUUUUUCUUGAAUAAAGUUUUUCUAUUCAGAUGAAUAAA